CCAGCUAACUCGGUGACCAGUGGAGGCCACACCCACGUGACACCUGCUGUCCUUGACAACAGCUCCGACAGCACCUCUGUGGCUCCGCAGGAGCCGCCUCCCUGCCUCGUGGGCACACAGGCACCCCACUCCGCAUCCGAGCACCGCAGGCACCCCACUCCGCAUCCGAGCACCGCAGGCACCCCACUCUGCAUCCGAGCAGCUGUCUUUCACUGCACUCUGCGACUCCCUUGAGUUCCUCCCUGCGCAAGAUCUGAGAACCUUCUCUUGGGGUCUAGACUGGACCCCUUUCUCCAGCAGCAUUGGGUUCCUCAGAUUCACACUCACAGCACGCUGAGGCCUGUCUUACAAAGAACGAACUGAGGCUUAGAAAGAUGAAACCAAAACUUCCUCAGUCACGUGGCUGUUAAUUGCCCAUCAGAAAAUCAUUGAAUCCACCUGUGACCUGGACACCUCCCACCUCCAUCCCUGGAGCUGUGUCACCUUUCUGGACCAAACCACUGGACACCUUACACGUAUCGGUUGGCAACGUGUACACCUCCACACACUGCUAAAUGACAAAGCCGAAUUUUGAAAUACGAUGCCAUGAGGUGUUUGGAGAAGACAACUGAAAUGAUGUCAUGGAGGUGGCAGGGGAUCCUCUUGCCCUUUUCUUUUUUUCUGCCUGUAACUUCUGUCCCCCUAAAAUGCAUAAAAUCAAGCUGGAAUCCAACCACCUUAUGCACCAGUUCUUAGGACCUCCUGGGGUUGUGUCACCAAUCAUGGUCCUCACGUUGGGCUCAGACUAAAUCUCAUCAAAUAUUUUACAAAUUUGACUCUUUUUGUUGACAAGUCUG